CAAAAUGUAGCUUAAUAAAAGCAGCCCGCUUACACCGAACCGAUAUCUGUUAAACCCAGAUCAUUUUGA
rnacentral:tRNA from 1 species